rnacentral:rRNA from 1 species
UGGGUAACCUGCCUGUAAGACUGGGAUAACUCCGGGAAACCGGGGCUAAUACCGGAUGGUUGUUUGAACCGCAUGGUUCAGACAUAAAAGGUGGCUUCGGCUACCACUUACAGAUGGACCCGCGGCGCAUUAGCUAGUUGGUGAGGUAACGGCUCACCAAGGCGACGAUGCGUAGCCGACCUGAGAGGGUGAUCGGCCACACUGGGACUGAGACACGGCCCAGACUCCUACGGGAGGCAGCAGUAGGGAAUCUUCCGCAAUGGACGAAAGUCUGACGGAGCAACGCCGCGUGAGUGAUGAAGGUUUUCGGAUCGUAAAGCUCUGUUGUUAGGGAAGAACAAGUGCCGUUCAAAUAGGGCGGCACCUUGACGGUACCUAACCAGAAAGCCACGGCUAACUACGUGCCAGCAGCCGCGGUAAUACGUAGGUGGCAAGCGUUGUCCGGAAUUAUUGGGCGUAAAGGGCUCGCAGGCGGUUUCUUAAGUCUGAUGUGAAAGCCCCCGGCUCAACCGGGGAGGGUCAUUGGAAACUGGGGAACUUGAGUGCAGAAGAGGAGAGUGGAAUUCCACGUGUAGCGGUGAAAUGCGUAGAGAUGUGGAGGAACACCAGUGGCGAAGGCGACUCUCUGGUCUGUAACUGACGCUGAGGAGCGAAAGCGUGGGGAGCGAACAGGAUUAGAUACCCUGGUAGUCCACGCCGUAAACGAUGAGUGCUAAGUGUUAGGGGGUUUCCGCCCCUUAGUGCUGCAGCUAACGCAUUAAGCACUCCGCCUGGGGAGUACGGUCGCAAGACUGAAACUC